rnacentral:lncRNA from 1 species
GGAAAGGAGACAACACGAUUUGGCAAUGACUUAGACUCAUCAUAAAAAGUACUAUUUCAGUUGUCUUUAUAAUUCAACCUAAUAAUAUGCUUUGCUCUUUAAUGAAAAGUAUAUUUCCUAUAUCUCUAUGGGUGCACUUCUCUGAGACUAAGCAAACUAUUUGUAAAGGGUGAUUGAAUUGAAGAGGAAUCAUAUUUUUUUAAACGAUCUUUCCCCUGCCCUUUGUAUCACAGAGGCUGAAUCGGUCCUGGGCACUCAGCAUUCUCAGCAUUGGAUCAGCCCUAACCUGCUUGUAUUUCUUUUGCUGCAGAGCAUAGACCCAUAAUCCUGGAUCAAACAUGUUGAAGUCUCACUCUUCCAUCUACUCAGGUUGACCUCUAACAAAAUUCUGUUUUUCUCUCCAUUUGUCUGUGAAAAGAGUUUUCAUUCUAAACUCUUCCAAUUUAACAAAGGGAAAAGGUUAACAAGAAAGUAAAUCCCCCCUCCAAAAAAAAAAGUGGUCCACAGUUUCCCACUGAAUUGGAGCCAAAAACUCUGCCAGUUUUGCUCUCAUAUCUCCAAGCUGUACCCUGACCCUUCAUAUGACCAGUGGGGCUUGUGGCACAAGAUGUAUCUGGGCGCCUUUCUAAAAGUGCUAUCUUCGUCCAUAUUUCAAAACACUCACAGAUAUUUUAUCAUUAAUUAGUAUUCAUAUUAUGUCUCAAACAAUCUGUUCAAGAAUAGGGGAAGUGAACUAGUUGAACAGCUCUUCUGUUUGUCUGGUAAUUAACAUGGGUGAUGUAUGUAGAGCCGAAGGCCUUAUAAGGGGAGGAGGUGGUCAAGUGUUGGGCAGGUAAUCCCUGGAACAUUUAAAUGCUUACCUAUUUUGGAUGCUGGGCUACUCCAAAAAAAAUUGUACUUGGCAAACAGGGUGGGGAGACACAGGCCUUUUUAAAAAUAGAGCCAUGCCUCUUUGAUUCACAGCAUCCUGGAUUUGCUUUUCAUCAUGUUAACAUGCCACUUGGGAGCUGGCUGGACUCCCUUGUUCAGUGACAUAUAUUUCAUAGUGUUUUUUUAAAAACCAUUUGUUCUUUCAACCACAACAUGCUUUGAAUUUCUCUUUCAAAUUUGAGGAUGUAUAUAUAGAUUGAUCAAAACAAUAUUUUUAACAUUCCAAACAAUUUAGAAAGAUAGUGGAUGGGUGUCAGUUAAUGUAUUAUGCUCCUCUCUUCCUCCUCCCCCUCUUCAGCUGCUAAUCUUAGAACUUGUGUGCCAAAUUGUGUAAGAUAUUCUUCCAAUAGCUACAUGUGUGACUCUUUUGUGAGCUCUACAGACAGUUAUGAGGACAGAUUUGGAGUUGCAUAUGGGACUGUCACAUGGUUUGAUUUCCUUGUCUUCAGGCACUGAGAUUUCUUUUCACUGAGCUUUAAUACUGAGGAAUUUUUAGUUGUGGUAAAAGUUUAGCAAAGUCUCUAUUAAAUAAUUUACACAUUCUGGGAAUAGGGAAAGGAAAAAGUUUUUAUUCACCACCACUCUGUAUUCGGGAUCUAUAUAUACUAAAUAGUUCAUGUGUUUACUCUUUCCAAUAGUGAAAAAACAGGGUUUUAUCACAGAAUUUUUAUGAAAACCAGAAAAG